UACGAAGGGGGCUAGCGUUGUUCGGAAUUACUGGGCGUAAAGGGCUCGUAGGCGGCCAACUAAGUCGGAUGUGAAAUCCCCAGGCUUAACCUGGGAACUGCAUCCGAUACUGGAUGGCUUGAAUCCGGGAGAGGGAUGCGGAAUUCCAGGUGUAGCGGUGAAAUGCGUAGAUAUCUGGAGGAACACCGGUGGCGAAGGCGGCAUCCUGGACCGGCAUUGACGCUGAGGAGCGAAAGCCAGGGGAGCAAACGGG
rnacentral:rRNA from 1 species